rnacentral:rRNA from 1 species
GAAGUGGGAGUGGUCUUUAAGAUCGAUUUCGAGAAAGCCUAUGACAAAGUUAAUUGGGAUAUCCUACUGGAUUGUCAUGUUAAACCUGGUUUUAAUUCAAAGUGGUGCGGGUGGGUAUCGCAAAUCCUAAGGAAUGGCACUGUGAAUGUUAAGAACAAUGACGAGACAGGGCCCUAUAUCCAGAGUGCUAAGGGGGUGCGACAAGGUGACCCACACUCUCCAUUCUUAUUCAAUCUUGCAGCAGAGUGCCUGACUAAGAUGGUUAUUGCUGCCCAAAAAAUAAUCUCAUUAAAGGGUUAG